rnacentral:rRNA from 1 species
CAGCUUAAUCUUGGCGAUGCAACCUUGUUCUCAAAUAGGAGCCUUUGCUGGCUUCUCAUGGGCGAUGGAGGCAAGGCCUUGGUAGAUGCUAACCAAUGCAGAGCAAUGCGCCCUGACUGGCCAAAGGCUUGUUACCGGCAGGGCGUAGCUCUGAUGUUACUGAAGGAUUACAAGGGUGCAAGUGAGCGAUUCUCGGAAGGACUGAAGUUAGACCCAGGGAAUGCUGAGAUUGAGCAUGCUUUACGGUAUCCCAUCUGCCUCUUUGGUUACACUAUGCCUUUUUUGACGAAGACCUUGCAUUUUUCGGCUAACUUGUUAGGUUCAUGCCCUUGCGUACAACUUGUGAAGAUAUUGACUUUCAGUCUUGGAAAGCAACUACACGUACUAUUAUCUAGCAAUGCCAUAUGUAAUAUUCUUAAAACACAUCAAGCGCCCUUGAUCUACCACCUUGUCUUCAGCGUGAAUUUGGCAAUCAAGCUGAAUGAGAUUUUCUCAGAAAUACUAUGCUAA